AUGACCUUUGAGCAAGUUCUGUUAUCCACCAGGAUGACAGUCCAGCAAGGAAGAUGAGCGGCUUCUUCUAACCAGGAUCAGGGAGGAACUCUGGAUGUGUGACUGUGUGUUCUUGUCUCUUCUCCCGUGUGUGUGAAUGGUGUGAUGUGAGUCUCCCCUGUGUGUGCAUGUGCAGUCUGGCCUCCUGUCAGGUCUACACGGGGAUGCUGGUCACGUGGCUCGGGUCCUGGGCUGUCCUGGUGGCGUCUGGACGCUGCUUGGCAUCCCGCUCAUCAUAUUCUUCAUAUAUGUUCUCCAGUAACAGUAAACUGGUUUGUGGUACCUCGGAUGCGGCCAUCAAACUGGGGGUUGGUGGCAACCUUGAGGCCGGGGUGCGGCAGAAGGAAGCAGCUGAUGUUGGAGAAACAGGAGUGA